rnacentral:rRNA from 1 species
UACGUAGGGUGCGAGCGUUGCCCGGAUUUAUUGGGCGUAAAGGGUGCGUAGGCGGCGCGGUAAGUCGGGUGUGAAAUCUCGGGGCUUAACUCCGAAACUGCAUUCGAUACUGCCGUGCUUGAGGACUGGAGAGGAGACUGGAAUUUACGGUGUAGCGGUGAAAUGCGUAGAUAUCAGGAGGAACACCGGUGGCGAAGGCGGGUCUCUGGGCAGUAACUGACGCUGAGGAGCGAAAGCGUGGGGAGCGAACAGG